rnacentral:rRNA from 1 species
CCCCAGUAACGGCGAGUGAAGCGGCAACAGCUCAAAUUUGAAAUCUGGCCCCGGUGGUCCGAGUUGUAAUUUGCAGAAGGUGCCUCGGGUGCGGCAGCGGUCCAAGUCCCUUGGAACGGGGCGUCGGAGAGGGUGAGAAUCCCGUACGCGACCGAUGGCCAACCCCGUGUGAGGCCCUUUCGACGAGUCGAGUUGUUUGGGAAUGCAGCUCAAAAUGGGUGGUAAAUUUCAUCUAAAGCUAAAUACCGGCCAGAGACCGAUAGCGCACAAGUAGAGUGAUCGAAAGAUGAAAAGCACUUUGGAAAGAGAGUUAAAAAGUAUGUGAAAUUGUUGAUAGGGAAGCGCUUGCAACCAGACUCGCCCGCGGGAGAUCAACCGUCCCUCGGGGCGGUGCACUCCCCCGCGGUCGGGCCAGCAUCGGUUCCGNNGNCCGGACAAAUUCCCGGGGAACGUGGCUCCCUCCGGGGAGUGNUAUAGCCCCGGGCGCAAUGCGGCCAGCCGGGACCGAGGACCGCGCUUCGUGCUAGGAUGCUGGCGUAAUGGUUGUCAGCGACCCGUCUUGAAACACGG